AUGUGGAUCCGUGCUGCCAUAAACCGCAGGGCACGGUUUAUCCAGCUUAGUCAUCAUCCAAGGGAUGAUGCCUUCUCUGAUCUUGAGCACGUGCCGUUCAUCUCCUGCCACCUGAAACACCUGCACCUGUCUGGCACAAUGUUGCGAGACAAGACACUAAUGCAGCUCUCUUCUCAGUGUCCUUCUUUGGAAGUCCUGGAACUCAAGGAGUGCUUCCUGUAUGCCCCCCAGAUAUCAUCUGCCUCACUUAUUAGUUUGACCAUGGUUGAGUGCAGGAUCAUGGCUGACCUGUCCAUCGCUGCUCCAAGCCUUGUAUCACUGUGCUGUGUCAUACCAUACCACCGUGCUCCGUCGUUUGAAAACCUGGGGUCGCUGGCUACCGGCACCAUCAUGUUAAAUGACUCUUUCUUGCAUGAUAAGUUUGAAUACAAGUACAAAGAUCGCGAUGAAGAUGCAUUUGAAUGUGAUAGCGGCGACGACAGUGACUCUGAUGAUGACCACUGUGAUAGUGAUACUGAUACCGACUUGAGAACUUCUGACAUAUUGGAUGGUGCUAAAGUUUUAGGUGGCCAAAAUGUUAUCCGCAGCCUUUCAAAUGCUACAAGUUUAGACCUGAUAGCUGAUGCCGGAGAGUUGAUUCUGAAUAGGGAAUUGGAAAUAUGCCAAAUUUUUAGCAACCUGAAGGUGUUAACCCUUGGUGAAUGGUGUAUGGCUGCCGACUUCUAUCCGUUAGUUUCAUUCUUGCAGCAUGCUCCAAAUCUGGAGUCUCUUUUUCUUAAACUUAAAACGGAUCAUGAGGAAAUAGAAGACAAUAUCAGACUGGAGGGUAUAUCAUUUGCUUGCAAGAACCUUACAAUGGUCAAGAUAAAAUGUCCCAAGGAUGACGAAAGAGUUCCUGUGUUAACACAAAUGUUCAUGGCUAAUGGCAUACCCAUCGAAAAGAUAGAUGUCUGUCACCGUCAGACUCGCAAAACUUGUCAUCAAUCCUUGGCCCUAAGGCGUGGAUAUGCUGCUUUGUAG
rnacentral:rRNA from 1 species